GGGGCUAGGGCUCAGCGGUAGAGCUCUAGCCUCACAUGUGCGAGGCCCUGGGUUGGAUCCUCAGCCCCA
rnacentral:tRNA from 1 species